UACGGAGGGGGCGAGCGUUAUUCGGAAUUAUUGGGCGUAAAGGGCGCGUAGGCGGCUGUACAAGUCAAAGGUGAAAUCCCUCGGCUCAACUGAGGAACUGCCUUUGAAACUGUACGGCUUGAGGCCGGGAGGGGGUAGCGGAAUUCCCAAUGUAGCGGUGAAAUGCGUAGAUAUUGGGAGGAACACCAGUGGCGAAGGCGACUACCUGGCCUGUUCUUGACGCUGAGGCGCGAAAGCUAGGGGAGCAAACGGG
rnacentral:rRNA from 1 species